CAUCACCUACAUAGUUAUUGGUUUUUUUUGUGGUGAGAACAUUUGUCUGUUAACAAUUUCAAGUAUACAAUAAUACAUUAUUAUCGACAGCACCGUCUCAUACAUAGAUCUUCAGAACACACUCAUCUUAUCUGACUGAGACUAUGCUCCCUUUGACCAACCUCUCCCCAUGCCCCACGCCUCCAGCUCCUGGCAACCACCAUUGUACUCUGCACUUCGACCUCUUUGAAACAAGUAAUUCUUUCAAAGAACUCCUGCACUGGUCAGCAUUGGAAAAAGUGUUGCUAGUUAACUAGCUGAUGUGUAGCAGAAUGAGUUGCAUUAUCUAUUAGAAAAUAUGGAGGUUGUAACAGGAGGUAUUUCUUCUACUUCCUAAGGGCUGAAAUGCUCCUAGAUAUUUACCUUGAAUAUGUCAUUUUAAUUUUCUGAACAUAGUCCAGUUACAUGUCGCUGCAUAAUGCUGGGGACAGCAAGUAGAUGGCUAACACAGGAGAGCCAUUACCCAUGGAAGAGAGGUCUCUGUCUUCUGUACUUAAAGGGUGACGACAUUUCCUCUAUUAGAUGUGGGCUCUCUUCCUUUCCUUGCUUUGAUGUUUCUUUUUCUUUAUUCAUUCCCCCUUUGGUUAAUUUUCAGAAAAACCAUAUCUCCAAAUAACUGGUGUCCUAUGAAUAAACUGGUGUCCUAUGUUUGAGAUAAAAGUUAUUUUUCGUCUUGUAAGCUUGUUGUACUUUUUCUCCAUUGCUGUGUAACUAAUGCCCCCUGGAUUUAGUGGCUUCAAACGGCACACUUUGAUCCAUUCACAGUCCCUGUGGCUUAGGAGUCCAGGCGUGGCUUAGCAGAAUCCUCUGGCCCAGGUUCUCUACAAGGCUGCAGUCAAGGCUGUGGCCAGUGCUGCGGCCAUCUCACAGCUGAACGUGGGGGAUCAGGGGACGCAUUCACGUCCAAGCUCACUCAUGGGACUGCUGACAGUCCUCUGGUCCUCUCUGGCUGGUCCAGCGACAUCAUUUCAUUGUCAUGCGGGUCUCCCCGGAGGCCACUCACACCCAAGAUGGAAGCCACAUUCUUUUGUAAGAGUGACCCCUUGCUCUGCCAUAUUCUGUUCAUCAGAAAUGAGUCACUAGGUCUAGCCCACACUGGGGGAAGAGCUUCCACAGCAGCGUGGCUCCCAGGAGAAAGGGGACAGUGGGAGCUCACUGAGAAGCAGCCUACCACAUUUGUUAUUAUUUUCAAUGUCUAACAAACCAUGGAUCCCUGUCAAUUCUUCAAUUUCAAAUAUUUUCCCUUAAUCACCCCUUACUUUCCAUUUCACUGCCAACACCUCGAUCUCUGUCUUCCUCACCAUAAGGCAGAUUCGUAACAGCUUCCAUAACUCGCCAUGAGCCCCGCAGAGCCCUCGUUCCCCGCUGCUCGUUAUUAUUCCUGAAACGCCCAGUACCACUUCCUGUUCUUACUCAUUUAUUUAUUUGGAACAGUUCAGGAAUUCGCGUGCCGUCCUUGCACAGGGGCCCUGCUGAUCUUCCCUGUACCGUUCCAAUGUUAGUACAUGCGCUGCCGAAGCGAGCACGCUUCCCGUUCUUGUUCACGAGCCUUCAACGCUCACCGUUGCCUGCUUCCAGUUGUGCCUCACGUUCCUUCCAAUGGCGCCUUCCAUCCCAGCUGGGCGGGGCUUCCUGUGUUACCUUCUCAACAUGGCGAGCUUGCUGGACGUCGCGUCGCCUUUGCCUUUUCCGCUGCGGACUCUGCUCACCGACCUCCUCAGUAGAGCCGGCCCUGCUCACUACCGCGCCCACGUGUCCUGUUGUGCUUCGUUCCCACAGGCCGCAUAAGAAGUGGGUGCCGAGGCUCCCUUCCCACUGCCAUUCCACUGGCCCAGAGGAAGCUUCUGUUGUGUUCAGAUGGGCAGGCACUCUUCCUCGAGAAGUUAAGUAGCUGGAAUAUCUAAAGGCCUCUCCUUGGCGAUUACUCAAUGAGCGCCUGUCCUUCCUCCACUCUUCCAGCAGACCUGCCUUUUGGGGCUGAUGGAAAUAUGCAUAUUAGAUUAUCUGCAGAAACUGGCUCAGCACUACAAGGAGGCUGCCAACAUGAAGACACUGGAUGUGGAAUCAGGAGGAGAUGUAUACAGCUCAGUCUCCAAAGCCAGGACAAGCCAGCUCCAAGACACUACUGGCUGAAUCUCACCAAUCGUUAUAGUUUUGUUUUUUGUUUUUUUAAAUGUAUGUAAGCAUUUUUAGGUGUUUUAAAUUUUAUGUGUGUAUUCUAGGAACAUGUACUCAGAUUCUUUCAUUAGGCAUGUGUUAUUAACAAUAUUCAUCUUCUUAAAGGCUGAACCAACUUUGCACAUUUUAUCAACAGAUAUUUACUGAGCACCUAAUAUUGCCAGGCAGUGUCCAAGGCAGUGGGAUUCAUCAGUGAACAAUACAGACAAAAAUCACUGACCUAAAUGGAGCUUGAAGUUUAUAUCUAAAUCAUUCAAAGAUUCUGUGGUGGAAAAGAAGUUAGAAAUCUUUCAGCUGCAAAACAUAAACCAAAAUACAACUCACCUUUGGAAUCAGGUUCAUAAAAUUGCAAAGCCCAGAUGUGCACCUGAGGUGAGGCUUCGUCCAGCUUCUGUCUGUGUCACUAAUCUUUCCUGCUUUCAGCGGCAUCCCUUGCAGGCCCGUGAUGUUCCCACCUGGUGUUCCCACCUGGCGGCAAACUGGUGACUGUAGUCACAGCUCUUCAACAUCACACUCAGGAGAAGAAGGAGAUUGCUUUUCAGGAGCUCCUGCAAGCCGGAGAAUAAAAGCUCUUAUUUAUUCAGAAGCCCUAAAACAUACCACCUUGGCUAUAGACUAUUUGGACAUUUCUAAGCAAAUCUGUCUGCAAAGGUGUUGAGAUGUGUUGAUCGACUGAAGCCCGUGACGUCUCAUCCUUGCAGGUGGAGCAAAUCUCAAAGGCAAAGCCAGUGUUAAGGAGAGGGAAAUCAGACUUCAUCUUUCGGUGGUAGAAGAAAAGAGUUUGCAACUGUCCCUAUUCUGCCACUGGCAGCGAAUCCAUAGGUUUGCUAAGGAUACAGAGCCACAUUGAAAAGAUAAACCUUGCUAUCCUGGAGGUUACUUAGGUGGGCCAGGAUUUCUUGAAACCAAAACUUUACUGAAUCACCUCUUCACCAUCUGUAUGCCGUGCAUUUGCUGAGAGAUAAAAACAUUCCUGUGAAAGAUGCCCUUCCCUGCACCGGGAGAAAAGAAGCCUUCUGCGACGAGGAGCCAUAGCGAAGAUAAUUCUAUAGAAACAGACCGUGGUAAAAUAAUGCCUAUCUUCCUGCAGCAUCCCCACGUAAUUUAGUUACUUUUCCACAGCUGCUUCUUUUUGCUCAACCUAAUAUCAAAGCAUUUAGGUAUUGCUGUUUCUUUGGGUCUUCAUUUUCUUAUUCAGGCUCCUGUGCCAUGUAAAACCUCUAUUAAAUUUGUAUGAUUUUCUCCUG